UUCUAACAAAAAGUUUCUACUGUUUUGAUGAAUGACUGCAGCUGCAAUUCAUCAGGUAAAAUGCCCCAGCGACAAUCCGCUCCUUGUCUUAACAUCUACUUGUUCUGAAAUGAUCUUGUUUGCAGACAGAAAAGAAAUCCCUCACCUGAUGAGCCCACCACACCAUGAGGUUUAUGCCUUGUGAGAGACUUGUGUACAGCUGAGGAAGUGCACAGCCAAUGGAUCACUGAAUGCAGUGACUGGCCAGCCAAGGAAGGACAAAGUGGCAGGAAUUCAAUCAGGAGCAGAGCAAUUGGCUCUCUUGCUAUAGGGAAGAACAGACACUACCUCUGCCCUGAGAGCCUGGGAGGAAAAUCAGCCAUGAAAGCAGGUCAACUCCCAGUCAGCUCUUUUCUCACUGUUUGGACUGUCUCAGUCAAAAAGAUCUCAAGCAAUCCUACAGACCUCC